GGCAACAACAGAUCUGUCAGCUGAGGCUGAGAAUACAAACUUUUUCUUUUUCUUUUUCUUUUUUUCCCCCUUUUUUCCCCUUCUUCUCUAAUAAUCAGGGAGAUGGGGAGGCGGAAAUCUCAGCAGGAACAGAUUGAAGACAUUAACAUUUGGUUGGUUUUGUAUUGUUCUUUAGUGAGACCGCAGCUUAUGAGGCUGUUUUAAUAAAUGUCUGGUCAGGGGCCAAUCAAAUCUGCCAAAAUGGGUGUAGGGAAGCCUGUUUCCCACACAGUCUGCUCCUUCCCACCCCAGUCACUGGAAAUAAGAAGGUCUAAUAACAAAACGCCUUCAUUUCCCUCCUCACCUCCUCACUCUCGGGGAUUUUGCAGCCCGUUGUUCCUAGACAGGAGCAAAUCUAACUCCCCUGCUGCUCCUCCCCCAAAGCAAACUAAGACCAUCUUGUUGAACUAUAAUGCAACAUAUGUUGAGAGCAGAUGCUCAUCUGGCAUAAAUUACUCUGGCUCUGCUCAAUUCAAUGGAGCUCCAGUAAUUGUAAUCAGCUGAAGAUUGUACCUUUGUUUUAUUUGUGGCUGUGGAAUGCAGUUCCUUAUCAGCAGCAGGUCAGGACACCUGCUGGGAGAACAGAGUCCAUUAACCUGAAGAUGGGUGACUGGUUUGUUCUCAGCUGUCCAGCUACUGGAUGAGAAGAAAGGCCAGUAAAAGAAAACAACUGCAGACCUGGUCCAGCUUAACCCUUGGCACAAAGCACGUCUAAGAACGAGCAGCCUGUUGGGCUGCAUGCCAGGAAAGCAUCAGGGGAGAGAGAGAGAAAAAAAAAAAAAAAAGCAGAAAACCAGAACAUAAACACAAGAUUGCUGCGGUAAUUGGUGGCUCUGAAAAACACUGAGGAAAUGUGAGGCUUGUAUGAAACAUCAGCAGACAAGAAGCGGGGUGAUGUCAGACGGCCUUCCAGGAUUAGAAACCCUUAAAAGCUCCCGAGUGCGGAACUGCCUGCGAAACGCGCUGCGGCUCUUUGGCGUGGAAGGACCCGAGGAGGACAAGUUCUGUUGAAAACCAACCCCGUGGUUCAGGAGAAUAAAAAGAAAUAAAGGAGGAGAAGGGAAGAGCGGCAGAUAAAAGGAGGGAAAAAUGAGAGGAAAAUGAAGACAAAGAAUGGAAGAGGAAGAAAGGAAGGAGGUAGUGAAGAGAAUAAAGGAGAGGUGAAGCAAGAAGACAAAAGAAGAAAAAUAAAAGGAAGAGAAAAAAUGGAAAAGACAAAAGAAAGUAAACAGAAGAAAGAAAAAUAAAAGAAAGAAUGAGAGAAGGAAGUAAAAAAUGUUGUGAGUACAGUAAGCAUGGCAAAAGAGAAGCAGGGCUUUUUGGAUGCAAAUAUGAAAAUAUCGAGGGAUUCAACACAAACAUCUCAUUACCCCAAAUUAAGUCAAUACAACUAUAAUAGAAGAAAGAUCAGAGAGAAUGGAAUUGUAGUUGCAAUAAUGCUGGAGCCACACAGAAAAAGGCUUUGAACAGGGGUACACAAAACCAGAAAAAAUAAAGAAGGAAAAAAAACCUCUCCCACACAUUAUUUGUUGUUUCUACUUCUGUUGGCUUCUUUCCUCGGGGGAAAAUAGAAAUACAAUACCAGACAUUUUAUAUACAUGUAUAUAUGUGUAGAGAGGAGAGUCUUCUAGCAAAUCUCUUUAAAAACAAAGGGUGCGGGGUAAGUGCGACCAAGGAGCAGCGCGGGGGAAGGUGUGGGGAUGCAUGCAGAUAGGGGGUUUUGGGCAGAGGGAGAGGUGUGGGGCUCUCCUGCCCACUGCAGCCCCGCAGCCGGCAGGC
ensembl:lncRNA